GAGCGAAUGGAUUAAGAGCUUGCUCUUAUGAAGUUAGCGGCGGACGGGUGAGUAACACGUGGGUAACCUACCCAUAAGACUGGGAUAACUCCGGGAAACCGGGGCUAAUACCGGAUAAUAUUUUGAACUGCAUAGUUCGAAAUUGAAAGGCGGCUUCGGCUGUCACUUAUGGAUGGACCCGCGUCGCAUUAGCUAGUUGGUGAGGUAACGGCUCACCAAGGCGACGAUGCGUAGCGACCUGAGAGGGUGAUCGGCCACACUGGGACUGAGACACGGCCCAGACUCCUACGGGAGGCAGCAGUAGGGAAUCUUCCGCAAUGGACGAAAGUCUGACGGAGCAACGCCGCGUGAGUGAUGAAGGCUUUCGGGUCGUAAAACUCUGUUGUUAGGGAAGAACAAGUGCUAGUUGAAUAAGCUGGCACCUUGACGGUACCUAACCAGAAAGCCACGGCUAACUACGUGCCAGCAGCCGCGGUAAUACGUAGGUGGCAAGCGUUAUCCGGAAUUAUUGGGCGUAAAGCGCGCGCAGGUGGUUUCUUAAGUCUGAUGUGAAAGCCCACGGCUCAACCGUGGAGGGUCAUUGGAAACUGGGAGACUUGAGUGCAGAAGAGGAAAGUGGAAUUCCAUGUGUAGCGGUGAAAUGCGUAGAGAUAUGGAGGAACACCAGUGGCGAAGGCGACUUUCUGGUCUGUAACUGACACUGAGGSGCGAAAGUGGGGGGAGCAAACAGGAUUAGAUACCCUGGUAGUCCACGCCCUAAACGAUGAGUGCUAAGUGUUAGAGGGUUUCSCCCUUUAGUGCUGGAGUUAACGCAUUAAGCACUCCCCUUGGGG
rnacentral:rRNA from 1 species